CUCUGUGUAGUUAACAGCUGAAGGAUGAGCAGUGCACUGUCAGCUGCAGUGGGAUGCUACUCUGCCUUGGCAUAGAAGGAAACACUGCUAUCUGCUAAAACAAUUACAAGCCAGAACGAUAAAUACUGUGUGUGUUAGUAAACUGUUGCUGUGCCGAGAUAUCUGACAAAUGCACUUUAAAGGAAAAAGUUGAUUUGGACUCAGGAUUUCAAAGGGUUCAGUUCAUUGUGCUUGGUAGAGUAGAUCUGCUCCAUCAUGGCAGGCAGGAUCAUAGGAGAAUGGGCUGGGAAGUAGACAGAACUUCCCAGUUUUAUCUGGGCAGCUCCACUUGGACCUUUGAGACCGCUUACAACUAUCCUCAAUCUAUGUUCCUACUUUGUAUGCAGCCUCCUUUAAGAUUAACUUGCCUUUGAGAAAACAGUGUAACCAGUCUUACAUGUGUGGAUUUCUUGUGUAAUCACUUUUACAACUUAAGCUAAAUGCAUAGCUUUAAUGUUAA
ensembl:lincRNA Gm29156 predicted gene 29156